CAGACAGAGAGAGAGAGGUGACUGACUGACUGCAGCAGAGAGAGUGAGAGAGGUGACUGACUGACUGCAGCAGAAGAGAGAGAGAGAGGUGACUGACUGACUGCAACAGAAGAGAGAGAGAGAGGUGACUGACAGACUGCAGCAGAAGAGAAAGAGAGUUGACUGGCUGGCUGCAGCAGAGAGAGAGAAAGGUGACUGGAUGGCUGCAGCAGAGGGAGAGAAAGUUGACUGGCUGGCUGCAGCAGAGAGAGAGAAAUGUGACUGGCUAGCUGCAGCAGAAGAGAAAGAGAGAGAGGUGACUGGCUGGCUGGCUGCAUCAGAGAGAGAAAGGUGACUGGCUGGCUGCAGCAGAAGAGAAAGAGAGAGAGGUGACUGGCUGGCUGCAUCAGAGAGAGAAAGGUGACUGGCUGGCUGCAGCAGAGAGAGAAAGGUGACUGGCUGGCUGCAGCAGAGAGAGAGAAAGGUGACUGGCUGGCUGCAGCAGAAGAGAGGAAAGGUGACUGGCUGGCUGCAGCAGAGAGAGAAAGGUGACUGGCUGGCUGCAGCAGAGAGAGAAAGGUGACUGGCUGGCUGCAGCAGAAGAGAAAGAGAGAGGUGACUGGCUGGCUGCAGCAGAGAGAGAGAGAGGCGACUGGCUGGCUGCAGCAGAGAGAGAGAGAGAGGCGACUGGCUGGCUGCAGCAGAGAGAGAGAGAGAGCGACAGGCUGCAGCAGAGAGAGAGAGAGGCGACUGGCUGGCUGCAGCAGAGAGAGGGAGAAAGGUGACUGACUGGCUGCAGCAGAGAGAGAAAGGUGACUGGCUGGCUGCAGCAGAAGAGAAAGAGAGAGGUGACUGGCUGGCUGCAGCAGAGAGAGAAAGGUGACUGGCUGGCUGCAGCAAAAGAGAGAGAAGGGUGACUGGCUGGCUGCAGCAGAAGAGAGAGAAAGGUGACUGGCUGGCUGCAGCAGAAGAGAAAGAGAGAGAGGUGACUGGCUGGCUGUAGCAGAGAGAGAGAGAAAGGCGACUGGCUGGCUGCAGCAGAAGAGAAAGAGAGAGAGGUGACUGGCUGGCUGCAGCAGAGAGAGAAAGGUGACUGGCUGGCUGCAGCAGAAGAGAAAGAGAGAGGUGACUGGCUGGCUGCAGCAGAGAGAGAAAGGUGACUGGCUGGCUGCAGCAAAAGAGAGAGAAGGGUGACUGGCUGGCUGCAGCAGAAGAGAGAGAAAGGUGACUGGCUGGCUGCAGCAGAGAGAGAAGGGGGCGACGGGCUGGCUGCAGCAGAGAGAGAGAGAGAGAGAGUGACUGGCUGGCUGCAGCAGAGAGAGGGAGAAAGGUGACUGGCUGGCUGCAGCAGAGAGAGAAAGGUGACUGGCUGGCUGCAGCAGAAGAGAAAGAGAGAGAGGUGACUGGCUGGCUGCAGCAGAGAGAGAGAGAGAGGCGACUGGCUGGCUGCAGCAGAGAGAGCGAGAAAGGCGACUGGCUGGCUGCAGAGGUCUCAGUGAAGUAGGGUAAGAGAGGCCCGGGUUUGGGCCCAGGGCACAUCAAUAUAGUGGCAGAGCCAGUUUGUCUCUGUGUGUGUGUCAAAGUGGGGGUGCUUAUAUUUGUCCUAUGUGUAGCAGAUCAACAGAUAUUUCACCUACUCAGCUCCGGGACCUUUGAGC
ensembl:lncRNA